AGCAGUGGGGAAUAUUGCACAAUGGGCGCAAGCCUGAUGCAGCCAUGCCGCGUGUGUGAAGAAGGCCUUCGGGUUGUAAAGCACUUUCAGUCGUGAGGAAGGUNGUGUAGUUAAUAGCUGCAUUANUUGACGUUAGCGACAGAAGAAGCACCGGCUAACUCCGUGCCAGCAGCCGCGGUAAUACGGAGGGUGCGAGCGUUAAUCGGAAUUACUGGGCGUAAAGCGCAUGCAGGUGGUUUGUUAAGUCAGAUGUGAAAGCCCGGGGCUCAACCUCGGAAUAGCAUUUGAAACUGGCAGACUAGAGUACUGUAGAGGGGGGUAGAAUUUCAGGUGUAGCGGUGAAAUGCGUAGAGAUCUGAAGGAAUACCGGUGGCGAAGGCGGCCCCCUGGACAGAUACUGACACUCAGAUGCGAAAGCGUGGGGAGCAAACAGGAUU
rnacentral:rRNA from 1 species